rnacentral:rRNA from 1 species
GACGAACGCUGGCGGCGUGCUUAACACAUGCAAGUCGAACGGUGAAGCGCCUUCCUUUUUGUUGGGUGGGGAUGAGUGGCGAACGUGUGAGUAACACGAGAGUAACCUGCCCCCUUCUUCUGGAUAACCGCAUGAAAGUGUGGCUAAUACGGGAUAUUCUGGGUCUGUCGCAUGAUGGGUCUGGGAAAGAUAUUGUUUCGGUGGGGGAUGGGAUCGGGGCCUAUCAGCUUGUUGGUGGGGUGAUGGCCUACCAAGGCGGUGGCGAGUAGCCGGCCUGGGAGGGUAGACGGUCACAGGGGGACUGAGACACGGGCCAGACUGCGACGGGGGGAAGCCGCGGAGAACAUCGCAAGAUGGGAGUAAGGAUGAUGGAGCGACGGGGGGUGAGGGAUGGAGGCGUUGGGGUUGUGAACAUCUUGCGCCAGUGAAGCAGGACUGCCUUGUUUGUGGGGGAGUUGACGGUAGCUGGAUAAGAAGCGCCGGCUAACUACGUG